rnacentral:rRNA from 1 species
UCGGAGAAAAAUUUUGACUGUUUCUGAGGAAUAAGCAUGGGGUAAAUUUGUGCCCGCAGCCGCGGUUAGACAGAGGAUGCCAAGGUUUUUCGGAAAGAUUGGGGGUAAAGGGUUGGUAGGGGGUUUACCAAGUUUUUUGUCAAAGAUCAGGGCUUAACCGGGGCAGGCAGGAGAAACUAUUAGAAUAGAGUUCGGUAGGGGCAGAGGGAAUUCCCGGUGGAGGGGUGAAAUGCGUAGAUAUCGG